rnacentral:rRNA from 1 species
UACGUAGGGUGCGAGCGUUGUCCGGAAUUAUUGGGCGUAAAGCGCGUGUAGGCGGCUUUGCAAGUCGGGUGUGAAAGCCCUCAGCUCAACUGAGGAAGUGCGCCCGAAACUGCAGAGCUUGAGUGCCGGAGAGGGUGGCGGAAUUCCCCAAGUAGAGGUGAAAAUUCGUAGAUAUGGGGGAGGAACACCGGUGGCGAAGGCGGCCACCUGGACGGUAACUGACGCUGAGACGCGAAAGCGUGGGUAGCAAACAGG